rnacentral:rRNA from 1 species
UACGGAGGGGGCUAGCGUUGUUCGGAAUUACUGGGCGUAAAGCGCACGUAGGCGGCUUUGUAAGUUAGAGGUGAAAGCCUGGUGCUCAACACCAGAAUUGCCUUUAAGACUGCAUCGCUUGAACGUCGGAGAGGUGAGUGGAAUUCCGAGUGUAGAGGUGAAAUUCGUAGAUAUUCGGAAGAACACCAGUGGCGAAGGCGGCUCACUGGACGACUGUUGACGCUGAGGUGUGAAAGCGUGGGGAGCAAACAGG